rnacentral:rRNA from 1 species
UUUAUGGAGAGUUUGAUCCUGGCUCAGGAUGAACGCUGGCGGCGUGCCUAAUACAUGCAAGUCGAGCGAACUGACGAGGAGCUUGCUCCUUUGACGUUAGCGGCGGACGGGUGAGUAACACGUGGGUAACCUACCUAUAAGACUGGAAUAACUCCGGGAAACCGGGGCUAAUGCCGGAUAACAUGUUGAACCGCAUGGUUCAACAGUGAAAGACGGUYUUGCUGUCACUUAUAGAUGGACCCGCGCCGUAUUAGCUAGUUGGUAAGGUAACGGCUUACCAAGGCGACGAUACGUAGCCGACCUGAGAGGGUGAUCGGCCACACUGGAACUGAGACACGGUCCAGACUCCUACGGGAGGCAGCAGUAGGGAAUCUUCCGCAAUGGGCGAAAGCCUGACGGAGCAACGCCGCGUGAGUGAUGAAGGUCUUCGGAUCGUAAAGCUCUGUUGUUAGGGAAGAACAUAUGUGNUUGCUGUCACUUAUAGAUGGACCCGCGCCGUAUUAGCUAGUUGGUAAGGUAACGGCUUACCAAGGCGACGAUACGUAGCCGACCUGAGAGGGUGAUCGGCCACACUGGAACUGAGACACGGUCCAGACUCCUACGGGAGGCAGCAGUAGGGAAUCUUCCGCAAUGGGCGAAAGCCUGACGGAGCAACGCCGCGUGAGUGAUGAAGGUCUUCGGAUCGUAAAGCUCUGUUGUUAGGGAAGAACAUAUGUGUAAGUAACUGUGCACAUCUUGACGGUACCUAACCAGAAAGCCACGGCUAACUACGUGCCAGCAGCCGCGGUAAUACGUAGGUGGCAAGCGUUAUCCRGAAUUAUUGGGCGUAAAGCGCGCGUAGGCGGUUUUUUAAGUCUGAUGUGAAAGCCCACGGCUCAACCGUGGAGGGUCAUUGGAAACUGGAARACUUGAGUGCAGAAGAGGAAAGUGGAAUUCCAUGUGUAGCGGUGAAAUGCGCAGAGAUAUGGAGGAACACCAGUGGCGAAGGCGGCUUUCUGGUCUGUAACUGACGCUGAGGUGCGAAAGCGUGGGGAUCAAACAGGAUUAGAUACCCUGGUAGUCCACGCCGUAAACGAUGAGUGCUAAGUGUUAGGGGGUUUCCGCCCCUUAGUGCUGCAGCUAACGCAUUAAGCACUCCGCCUGGGGAGUACGGUCGCAAGACUNGCAGAAGAGGAAAGUGGAAUUCCAUGUGUAGCGGUGAAAUGCGCAGAGAUAUGGAGGAACACCAGUGGCGAAGGCGGCUUUCUGGUCUGUAACUGACGCUGAGGUGCGAAAGCGUGGGGAUCAAACAGGAUUAGAUACCCUGGUAGUCCACGCCGUAAACGAUGAGUGCUAAGUGUUAGGGGGUUUCCGCCCCUUAGUGCUGCAGCUAACGCAUUAAGCACUCCGCCUGGGGAGUACGGUCGCAAGACUGAAACUCAAAGGAAUUGACGGGGACCCGCACAAGCGGUGGAGCAUGUGGUUUAAUUCGAAGCAACGCGAAGAACCUUACCAAAUCUUGACAUCUUUUGACCGCUCUAGAGAUAGAGUUUUCCUCUUCGGAGGACAAAAUGACAGGUGGUGCAUGGUUGUCGUCAGCUCGUGUCGUGAGAUGUUGGGUUAAGUCCCGCAACGAGCGCAACCCUUAAGCUUAGUUGCCAUCAUUAAGUUGGGCACUCUAAGUUGACUGCCGGUGACAAACCGGAGGAAGGUGGGGAUGACGUCAAAUCAUCAUGCCCCUUAUGAUUUGGGCUACACACGUGCUACAAUGGACAAUACAAAGGGCAGCGAAACCGCGAGGUCAAGCAAAUCCCAUAAAGUUGUUCUCAGUUCGGAUUGUAGUCUGCAACUCGACUAU